AUGAACUCAUUAAUCAAUGUGAAGCUAGCCCUGAAGCUGAAUAAAAGGCAGGCUGAUAUUGCAGUGGCUCCUAAAGCAUCCCGUCCUCUGUGUACAAGGACAGCUCCUGGAUGUUCCCGGGAGGGCUUUGUUAUGAACUGACUGAAGGUGAUGUCAUCUGUGUAGCCUCUCAAUAAGGGGAGAUAUAUUAACAUUAAUCUUGUACAGGACAGGAAGUCAGGAAUGCGUCCAAAGGAUUCUGUUUUACCUGCUAUGAGGGCCAGAGGAGUACCAUUUUGGCCAUUGACAAUUUUAAUGGAAUCAAGAUCAAGGGAAGAACUAUUCGAGUUGAUCAAUAAUGAAAUUACCAACUUCCUGCCUCUCUCCCUUGCCUGACCCAGAGGACUUGAAUGAUGCCACAAGACAGCUCUGGGAGAAGGGUUGUGGGGCCCAGAGUCCCUCACCUAGUUCAUCUGAAGGCUCCAGUGAUGAAGCACUCUCACAACAGCACAGCUGAGAAAAACGGGGGAAAAAAAAAACACCAAAGAGAAGAUCAUCAUUUGAGUUAAAGACAAGGAGGGACAGAGAAGUCAUCAUACACUCUGCCUGCCAGAGACCAGAUGAAAAAUGAUAAGGAUGCACGAAACUGCAAUAAACACACCAAGGUGGAAUUAGAGUCCAGAUAGGGGCUGAAGCCCUAACCAAGUUGUCCUGUGUCCAGGACAGCAGCUGCAGACCACAGCUUCCUGUGAACACAGCAGGACCUAGAGAAGGGAGUGAAAGGAAGGAGAGUCAGGAUUCUGAGCCCAGUACUUUGGCAGUGGCAGGGUAAGAGGAGAAGAGCAAGGAUAGGGACA
rnacentral:lncRNA from 1 species